UACCAGCACCCCGAGUGGUCGGGACGAUUAUUGGGCCUAAAGCAUCCGUAGCCGGUUCUACAAGUCUUCCGUUAAAUCCACCUGCUCAACAGUUGGGCUGCGGAGGAUACUAUAGAGCUAGGAGGCGGGAGAGGCAAGCGGUACUUAGUGGGUAGGGGUAAAAUCCGUUGAUCCAUUGAAGACCACCAGUGGCGAGGGCGGCUUGCCAGAACGCACUCGACGGUGAGGGAUGAAAGCUGGGGGAGCAAACCGG
rnacentral:rRNA from 1 species